AGAGUUUGAUCAUGGCUCAGGAUGAACGCUAGCGGGAGGCUUAACACAUGCAAGUCGAGCGGGAUCCCCUUCGGGGGUGAGAGCGGCGGACGGGUGCGUAACGCGUAUGCAACCUGCCUUAUGCCGGGGGAUAGCCCAUGGAAACGUGGAUUAAUACCCCAUAUUCUAUAUUGUCUGCAUAGAUGGUAUAGGAAAGCCCUGGCGGCAUAAGAUGGGCAUGCGUCUGAUUAGCUUGAUGGUAAGGUAACGGCUUACCAUGGCGACGAUCAGUAGGGGUCCUGAGAGGGUUACCCCCCACACUGGUACUGAGACACGGACCAGACUCCUACGGGAGGCAGCAGUGAGGAAUAUUGGGCAAUGGGCGGAAGCCUGACCCAGCCAUCCCGCGUGCAGGAUGACGGCGCUAUGCGUUGUAAACUGCUUUUCCGGGGGAAGAAACACCUUUACGGGUAAAGGCUUGCCGGUACCCCGGGAAUAAGCAUCGGCUAACUCCGUGCCAGCAGCCGCGGUAAUACGGAGGAUGCAAGCGUUAUCCGGAUUUAUUGGGUUUAAAGGGUGCGCAGGCGGGCUUGUAAGUCAGUGGUGAAAUUCUGCCGCUUAACGGUAGGGCUGCCAUUGAUACUGCGGGCCUUGAGUAUGGUUGAGGUAGGCGGAAUGUGCGGUGUAGCGGAAAUGCAUAGAUAUCGCACAGAACACCGAUUGCGGAGGCAGCUUACUAAGCCAUUACUGACGCUGAGGCACGAAAGCGUGGGGAGCGAACAGGAUUAGAUACCCUAGUAGUCC
rnacentral:rRNA from 1 species